UAUGUGAUCGUCUCUCGCAUAUCAAUAAGCGGAGGAAAAGAGGGCUAUUACCUACGCUUAGGAUGUUGACACACGCGCGUGCUCGACCUAUACAUGACUCUGCGCAUAUCAAUAAGUGGAGGAAAAGAAACUAACAAGGAUUCCCCUAGUAACGGCGAGUGAAGCGGGAAGAGCUCAAAUUUGAAAUCUUAAAGGGUUUCCCUUUACGAAUUGUAGUUUAAAGAAGUGUUUUCUGUUGAGGUUUUGGUAAAAGUUCUUUGGAAUAGGACAUCAUAGAGGGUGAGAAUCCCGUAUUUGACCUUUACUUUCAACUUUGUGAUACACUUUCAAAGAGUCGGAUUGUUUGGGAAUGCAGUCCAAAAUGGGUAGUAAAUUUCAUCUAAAGCUAAAUAUUGGCGAGAGACCGAUAGCGAACAAGUACCGUGAGGGAAAGAUGAAAAGAACUUUGAAAAGAGAGUUAAACAGUACGUGAAAUUGUCAAAAGGGAAGCGUUUGACACCAGUGUUGUUUUUCUGAAAAUCAAUUAAAGAACUGUUUAUGCUAAGUUGUUUAGACUUUAUCAGCUAACUGUUUAGUUUUGAGCUUUUCUUUAAUGCACUUUUCAGUUAACAAGUCAACAUCAAUCUCUUUUGCUGUAAAAAAGCUUGAGGAAGGUGGCUUGAGAUUCGUCUUAAGUGUUUAUAGCCUCUUGCCUAUGCAGUCGGAGAGAUUGAGGUCUGCAGCGUAGAUCCUUCGGGGCUAAAUGCAUUUGUGCUAAGUUAUAGCAUUUUAUAGACAACUUGUUGACUAUGAUUUGUCUUGUAGCUUACUCGCUUAUGUUAUUUUACCUACGCUUAGGAUGUUGACACACGCGCGUGCUCG
rnacentral:rRNA from 1 species